rnacentral:tRNA from 1 species
GACACCAUUGUGUAGUGGUCAGCACGCUCGACCCUUAACCGAGAGGUCCGUGGUUCGAUUCCCAGCGAAGUUG